rnacentral:rRNA from 1 species
GACGAACGCUGGCGGCGUGCUUAACACAUGCAAGUCGAACGGAAAGGCCCUGCUUGCCGGGUACUCGAGUGGCGAACGGGUGAGUAACACGUGGGUGAUCUGCCCUGCACUUCGGGAUAAGCCUGGGAAACUGGGUCUAAUACCGGAUAGGAGCCAUUUUUAGUGUGAUGGUUGGAAAGUUUUUUCGGUGUAGGAUGAGCUCGCGGCCUAUCAGCUUGUUGGUGGGGUAAUGGCCUACCAAGGCGGCGUCGGGUAGCCGGCCUGAGAGGGUGGACGGCCACAUUGGGACUGAGAUACGGCCCAGACUCCUACGGGAGGCAGCAGUGGGGAAGAUUGCACAAUGGGCGCAAGCCUGAUGCAGCGACGCCGCGUGGGGGAUGACGGCCUUCGGGUUGUAAACUCCUUUCGCUAGGGACGAAGCUUUUUGUGACGGUACCUAGAGAAGAAGCACCGGCUAACUACGUG